GACAGAGGGUGCAAACGUUGUUCGGAAUUACUGGGCGUAAAGCGCGUGUAGGCGGCCAUCUAAGUCGGGCGUGAAAUCCCGACGGCUCAACCGUGGAAGUGCACUCGAAACUGGAUGGCUAGAGUCCUGGAGAGGAAGGUGGAAUGCUUGGUGUAGAGGUGAAAUUCGUAGAUAUCAGGAGGAACACCUGUGGCGAAAGCGGCUCACUGGACCAUAACUGACGCUGAUGCACGAAAGCUAGGGGAGCAAACAGG
rnacentral:rRNA from 1 species